rnacentral:rRNA from 1 species
UCUGGUUGAUCCUGGCGGAGGUUACUGCUAUCGAGGUUCGAUUAAGCCAUGCGAGUCGAAUGCCGCAAGGCAUGGCGUACUGCUCAGUAACACGUGGACAACCUACCCUUAGGACUGGGAUAACCCCGGGAAACUGGGAAUAAUCCCCGAUAGUCCUCGAAGGCUGGAAUGCAUCGAGGGCGAAAGCUCCGGCGCCUAAGGAUGGGUCUGCGGCCUAUCAGGUAGUAGUGGGUGUAGCGUACCUACUAGCCUACGACGGGUACGGGUUGUGAGAGCAAGAGCCCGGAGAUGGAUUCUGAGACACGAAUCCAGGCCCUACGGGGUGCAGCAGGCGCGAAAACUUUACAAUGCUGGCAACAGCGAUAAGGGAACCUCGAGUGCCAGGUUACAAAUCUGGCUGUCGAGAUGCCUAAAAAGCAUUUCAUAGCAAGGGCCGGGCAAGACCGGUGCCAGCCGCCGCGGUAACACCGGCGGCUCGAGUGGUAACCGUUAUUAUUGGGUCUAAAGGGUCUGUAGCCGGCCGGAUAAGUCUCUUGGGAAAUCUGGCAGCUCAACUGUCAGGCUAUCAGGAGAUACUGUCUGGCUCGAGGCCGGGAGAGGUGAGAGGUACUUCAGGGGUAGGGGUGAAAUCUUGUAAUCCUUGAAGGACCACCAGUGGCGAAGGCGUCUCACCAGAACGGACCUGACGGCAAGGGACGAAAGCUAGGGGCACGAACCGGAUUAGAUACCCGGGUAGUCCUAGCCGUAAACGAUACUCGCUAGGUGUCGGCCACGGUGCGACCGUGGUCGGUGCCGUAGGGAAGCCGUGAAGCGAGCCACCUGGGAAGUACGGCCGCAAGGCUGAAACUUAAAGGAAUUGGCGGGGGAGCACCACAACGGGUGGAGCUUGCGGUUUAAUUGGAUUCAACGCCGGAAAUCUUACCGGGACCGACAGCGAUAUGAAGGCCAGGCUGAAGACUUUGCCGGAUUAGCUGAAAGGUGGUGCAUGGCCGUCGUCAGUUCGUACUGUGAAGCAUCCUGUUAAGUCAGGCAACGAGCGAGACCCAAAGGGCGAAUUCCCGGCC